CCUAGGGCCAUUAUUGUCUGACUGUUGCCUUGCUCCCCACCAUGGUGAUAUGGACUCACUCUCUGAAACUAGACAACUGAGAGCACCUUGAAAGGUGAAGCUCUAAGGAUCAAGGACCUAUGGCCUCUGAUGAGCACCCAGCAUUUCUGAGUGUUCACCAGGGCCCAGCAAUGGCUGCUUUACACAUGUCUUCAGCACCCUUUGAGGCUAUCUGAUGCUGCAGAGAAUUGGUCCUAUUCAACUUUUCUUUGGUAUGCUUAUAAUGACUGAGCCUCAAAUGGUUUGCAACAAACAAGGAAAGACUAAACAGGCUCUUCUAUUAACCUCUGCUACCAGUCUUGAUCUUAGUUGGAGCUUUCCACUGGAAGGAGCAGAAACCAGAAUGGUGGCUGUAUUUGGUGGCUGUGAGAGGAACAACAGACUAGUAGUCCAGAUGGACAACGUCAGCCCUGCACUGGAAACUUUGAGCUUCAGGCAUGCAAGAGACGCUACAGGGAACUGCUACCAUUGUACUCUUUGAAAUCCUUCCAACCCUUCUGGAUUCAGUCUGUGGAAAAGAUUGCAAUGCCUUCCAAAUUCUGAAGGAUUUUAAAAGGGUAACCCAAGGAGCAGGCAUAUGAAGGGUUAGAAGCUUGGGCCACAGCAGCCCGAGAAGCCCGCCCAUCCUCCCCUUGGCUAGUCUUGCUGAAGGAAGAGGCUCUGUAUUCAAGCAUUCUUUCAGAGCAAAACAAUUGCACCAGCAAGUUCCAAGCAGUGAAUCUGGACAUAGGUAUUUUC